GACGAACGCUGGCGGCGUGCUUAACACAUGCAAGUCGAACGGAAAGGCCCUGCUUUUGUGGGGUGCUCGAGUGGCGAACGGGUGAGUAACACGUGAGUAACCUGCCCUUGACUUUGGGAUAACUUCAGGAAACUGGGGCUAAUACCGGAUAGGAGCUCCUGCUGCAUGGUGGGGGUUGGAAAGUUUCGGCGGUUGGGGAUGGACUUGGGGCUUGUCAGCUUGUUGGUGGGGUAGUGCCUUACCAAGGCUUUGACGGGUAGCCGGCCUGGGAGGGUGACCGGCCACAUUGGGACUGAGAUACGGCCCAGACUCCUGCGGGGAGCAGCAGUGGGGAAGAUUGCACAAUGGGCGGAAGCCUGAUGCAGCAACGCCGCUUGCGGGAUGACGGCCUUCGGGUUGUAAACCGCUUUCGCCUGUGACGAAGCGUGAGUGACGGUAAUGGGUAAAGAAGCACCGGCUAACUACGUG
rnacentral:rRNA from 1 species